rnacentral:rRNA from 1 species
GACGAACGCUGGCGGCGUGCUUAACACAUGCAAGUCGAGCGGUAAGGCCCUUUCGGGGGUACACGAGCGGCGAACGGGUGAGCAACACGUGGGUGACCUGCCCUCAGCUCUGGGAUAAGCCUGGGAAACUGGGUCUAAUACUGGAUAUGACUCCACGGUGCAUGUCGUGGGGUGGAAAGCCUUGUGCGGCUGAGGAUGGGCCCGCGGCCUAUCAGCUUGUUGGUGGGGUGAUGGCCUACCAAGGCGACGACGGGUAGCCGGCCUGAGAGGGCGACCGGCCACACUGGGACUGAGACACGGCCCAGACUCCUACGGGAGGCAGCAGUGGGGAAUCUUGCGCAAUGGGCGAAAGCCUGACGCAGCGACGCCGCGUGAGGGAUGACGGCCUCGG